UGGCGGACGGGUGAGUAAUGUCUGGGAAACUGCCCGAUGGAGGGGGAUAACUACUGGAAACGGUAGCUAAUACCGCAUAACGUCGCAAGACCAAAGAGGGGGACCUUCGGGCCUCUUGCCAUCGGAUGUGCCCAGAUGGGAUUAGCUAGUAGGUGGGGUAACGGCUCACCUAAGCGACGAUCCCUAGCUGGUCUGAGAGGAUGACCAGCCACACUGGAACUGAGACACGGUCCAG
rnacentral:rRNA from 1 species